AAUCUCCCCACCCAGGACAUGAACUUGCUAUCCCAAUUCUUUAAGGUGGCAUUAAAUUCGUCUAUUAACCUCCCGUAGUUUAGGUGAAAGAGUCUCUCGGGGUCCUUUGGGAUCCUCAGACCUAAGAAGGUAAGGUAGUCCUCUCUCCAGUCUAAUGGGAAUGAGUUUUUUAAGUUUGCUAUGGUGUUGCGUGCUCUCCCGAUUCCCAUUGCUUGUGUUUUGGUUACAUUAAGUUUGUAGUAUGAUUGUUCCCCGUAGAUUUCUAUUUCCCUCAACAGGUUUGGGAGCGACAGAUGUGGUUGUGUUAGCGUCAGCAGGAUGUCGUCCGCGAAGAGGUUUGCCUUGUAUUCCCUUUUCCCUAUCUCCAGGCCGUGUAUUGUGGGGUUUUCUCUAAUUUUGAUCGCUAACGGCUCUAGCGCCAGCACAUAAAGCAGCGGGGACAGAGGGCAUCCCUGUCUCGUGCCGUUUGUGAGUCGGAACGGUUCCGACAGGAACCCCGCGUUCAAUACUCGUGCUGCGGGUUGGCUAUAUAGAGCACUAACGGCUGCCACAAAGCCACAAGGGAUGUCAAACCUACCCAAUACCUCCUGAAGGAACCCCCAGUGUAGACGAUCGAAGGCUUUUUCGGCGUCGAGGGAGACAAGAAGUCCCCCCCGGUGCCGGCCCUGUAGGUGGUGGAGGAUGUUAAUAACUUUCCUGGUGUUGUCCGACCCCUGUCUCCCCUUUAUGAAACCCACCUGGUCAUCAUGUAUUAUGGUCGGGAGGAUUACACUCAGUCUGUUGGCAUAUAAUUUGGCGUACAAUUUGGCGUCCGUGUUGAGGAGGGAAAUUGGUCGGAAGUUCUGUGGGAUUGUCGGGGUUUUGUUGGGUUUUGGGAGCGUAACUAUGUGAGCCGACAGUGUUUCUUUGGGGAGUUCCCCCUUCUGAGUUGCCUCUGUGAAUAAUCUGGCUAAGUAUGGUGCGAGUGUGGUGUUAAAUUUCUUGUAGUAUUGAUUGUCAAAUCCGUCUGGUCCUGGGGAUUUCCCUGUUGGGAGGCCUUUAAUUAGCUCCUCAACCUCUAGGACUGUUAUUGGUUUUGUAAGGUCUAGCUGUUGUUGUGGCGUGAUCUUGGGUAUUCUCACUCCAUCUAGGUACUCUUUUAUGCUUGUGGUCGUCGGAUGUCUGACCUGUGUGUCCUGUUGAAUAUUGUAGAGUGUUGAGUAGUAUGAAGCGAAUACCUCACUUAUGCCUUUUGGGGUACGUAUUUGUGUUCCUGCUUGGUCCGUGACAUAGGAUAUUUUUUGGUGUGCCUGUCUAGAUUUUAUUCUUUGUGCCAGCAAUUUGCUUGCCUUAUUCCCUUGCACGUAAUGGUUUAUCUUGAGCUUCUGCAUGUGUGCGCUGAGUGUCUCAAGUGCGUGUUGGUGCAUAAGGCGUGUGAGCUGGGUUAUUUUGUGUCUUGUCUCUGGUGUUGGGGUGUGUUGGUUAAGUCUGUUUAAGUUAUACAGCUCUGCCUGCCAUUUUCUGAGUUGUGUCUGUUGUGUCCUUUUCACAUAGGCUGCCCUUCUGAUCAAUAGGCCCCUCGACACUGUCUUGUGUGCUAGCCAUAAUGUGGAGUCUGAGACAUCCCCCGUGUCAUUAUUAUCGAAGUAUGUUUGGAGGUCUUCCUUUAGAGUUUGUGCGUAUCCCUCGUCCCUUAACAGUGAAUUGUUUAUUUUCCACGGGCUGCGGUGUUUAAAGUCGUAGAUGUUUUUUAGUUCUAUAGUUACUGGUGCGUGGUCUGACCACGUAAUCUGCUGUAUGUCGCUAUCAACUAGUUGGUCUAGGGCCGAUCCCGCUAUGAGAAACCCAUCUAUUUUGGAGUAAGAGUUGUGCACUGCUGAAAAGUGGGUGUACGCCCUUUCUGUAGGGUGCGUGACCCUCCAGGCGUCAUAGAAAUGUUGGGCAUGGAGUAGUUUUGCUAUGGCUCUACAUUGUCUCUUCAGGGGGCGGUGAUGCUUGCUACGUGCAUGUAGGGUGGUGUCCGUAAGCGGGUCAAAAAUGUGGUUGAAGUCCCCUCCUAUAAUCGUGAUGCCCUUUUGGGUUUUGGCUGUCUGGUUUAAAAUUUUUUGCAAGAAAUUCCUUUGAUUAGUAUUUGGGGAGUACAUGUUCACUAUGGUGUAUAGCAUAUCGUUAAACACUCCCACGAGUAUAAUAUAUCUACCAGUCGGAUCUAUGUCUACAGUCUGCAGUGUGAAAGAUAC